UUCGCAAUGCCCGAAAGGGUGACGAAGCGACGCCGCGUGAGCGAAGAAGGCCUUAGGGUUGUAAAGCUCUGUCGAGGGUUAUGAAAUGUAGGUGGGUUAAUACCCCGCUUAUUUGACAAAGGCCCCAAAGGAAGUCACGGCUAACUCUGUGCCAGCAGCCGCGGUAAUACAGAGGUGGCAAGCGUUGUUCGGUAUUAUUGGGCGUAAAGAGCACGUAGGUGGUUUUGUAAGUCAGGUGUGAAAGCCUUCUGUUCAAAGGAAGAACGGCAUCUGAAACUGCAGAUCUUGAGUGUAGGAGGGGAGAGUGGAACUUCUGGUGGAGCGGUGAAAUGCGUAGAUAUCAGAAGGAACGUCGGCGGCGAAAGCGACUCUCUGGCCUAUUACUGACACUGAGGUGCGAAAGUUAGGGGAGCAAACGGGAUUAGAUACCCCGGUAGUCCCAACCGUAAACGAUGGGCACUAAGUAGAGGGGUUUU
rnacentral:rRNA from 1 species